CUAUCACCGUGACCCAGCUACCGUCCGUGCGCGAGAGAGAGGGGGAGAGCUUGUGCCAGGGAGAAAAAGAAAGCAACACCGCCACGAUGAAUUCACGCCAUCGCUGCUUGCUCGCCAUCGAUUGGUCAACCAAGAGAUUCGCUAAGAACCGGAGGUCCUUCCCGUGCUCAAGCGGUGCGCAAGGUGGACUCAUCCUUGGCUAGUUGCUCGCUGGUGAGGUGUGGGCAUCAUGGACCGCAUAUCGUCGUGGACAGACAUCUCCAUGACUCUCGGAGCCGGCGAGCAAAUGACCAAGGAGCUCGAGGCACCGCAGGUUAAAGAUUAUGAGUAGGAGCUCGUAGAAGUUAUCUCAACUCAAGAGGACUAUUGCGCGUGGAUAGGCGCCUGAAGUACUGGUUUAGUUCUACUGAAGGGUGGGUGCAAUCAUGUGAAAACUUGUACUAAACCCGACUUCAAAGUUUCUGCAGACAAUGUUCGAAGAUCAACAAUCGAAGCUUCAAAGUGGUCAAAAAAGUUCUUGUUUGAUAUAUGGAAGGAGGGUGGAAAGGAAUCAAUAUUGAAGAAUCAAUAAAAAUGAUAGAAGGUUCGUGCGUAGCUACCUUCGUCUUACCCGCGUGAAUCACAUGCAUGUUCUAAUUUCCGGCUUUUUGCAAGCUCGAAAGGCAACUAAAAAGGCUGCUGGUAUUAGAAAAAAUCUGCAGACAAAGAAGGCCAAAGUUGCUUUUUCUCUUUGCAACUCCUAGAUUUCUUUGAGCACAUGUUGAUAAUUGUCUUCUAACUUUUGCUGGGAAGUUUCUACUUCAUAGGUAAUCAUUGAAGUAAAACACAAUGAAGCUGAUGCAGAAGAUGUUGCCAUCUAAGCCAAAGCGAUAGCUGCCAGGGUCACGAAGAGGGCUACAGACAGUGUAGUUUUUAAAAUAUGUGAACAAAUUUAUGAUGAGAUGAUGCACGGAUAGUAAACACUUGGUGCCGUCUAUGUUGAAGCUCCCUAGUACUUUUUUUGUUGUAAUAUAACGUACUUCUAUUUUGACUUGCUGAUUUGCUUUUUUCCUUUGUGAUGUGUAAAACUUAUAUGCUAUGCAUUUUUUAGUCGAAGGCAAAAAAACACCUUCCGUUCUUUUCACAUGUUACAAAGGGAAUGCACUCCAUGGAUGUAGCUUCGUCAUAGGCUAAGUUUGUACUUGCAUUCCCUUAGGAAUUGCUUCUUAGCUUUUCUAGCCCUAUUUAGGUGAUUGCAUCGGAACUCUGCAUUCCCUUAGGAACGACUUCGGAGCUUUUUCACCAUUACUUAGGUGAUUGAAUCAGAGCUCUGUAAUCCCUUAGGAAUGACUGGAGCUUUUUCACCAUUACUUAGGUGAUUGAAUCAGAGCUCUGCAUUCCCUUAGGAGUGACUUCAGAGCUUUUUCACCAUUACUUAGGUGAUUAAAUCAGAACUCUGCAUUCCCUUAGGAACGACUUCAGAUCUUUUUCAGCUUUUUCACCAUUACUUAGGUGAUUGAAUCAAAGCUCUGCAUUCCCUUAGGAACGACUUCGGAGCUUUUUAGCUUUUUCACCAUUACUUAGGUGAUUACGUAAUUUCAUCAUCGCACUCAAAGGUGCCAACUCAAUAUUACAUUGGAUUGCAGAAUAGAAGAGGGUUUUACAAGUAAACUUAAAUGCAUAGUAGUAUCUUCUCGAUAGCUUUGGGUCAUGUUACCCAGCCUCUUGGAGUCUUUAGUAUAUAUGCUUCGUCUCUAGGAUCAUACUGUUAACAGUGCGGGUUUCUGAACCCUCCCUUCUAUCCCUUUAUUGCAAAUCUUGCACUAGGAACUUGGGUGACCAGCGAGAACCUGAUCAUAGGG